GUGUUUACAGUUCAGCGGUUAAGAUAAUUACCUUUCAAGUAAUAGACUCGGGUUUGACUCCCGAUAGAUGCG